rnacentral:rRNA from 1 species
AUUGAACGCUGGCGGCAGGCCUAACACAUGCAAGUCGAGCGGCUGAAGGGAGAUUGCUCCUGGAUUCAGCGGCGGACGGGUGAGUAAUGCCUAGGAAUCUGCCUGGUAGUGGGGGCUAACGUCCGGAAACGGGCGCUAAUACCGCAUACGCCCAGAGGGCGAAAGUGGGGGAGCAUCGGACCUUACGCCAUCAGAUGAGCCUAGGACGGAUUAGCUGGUUGGUGGGGUAAAGGCCUACCAAGGCGACGAUCCGUAACUGGUCUGAGAGGAUGAUCAGUCACACUGGAACUGAGACACGGUCCAGACUCCUACGGGAGGCAGCAGUGGGGAAUAUUGGACAAUGGGCGAAAGCCUGAUCCAGCCAUGCCGCGUGUGUGAAGAAGGUCUUCGGAUUGUAAAGCACUUUAAGUUGGGAGGAAGGGCAGUAAGUUAAUACCUUGCUGUUUUGACGUUACCAACAGAAUAAGCACCGGCUAACUUCGUG